UGCGGAAGGAUCAUUACCUAGAGUUGUAGGCUUUGCCUGCUAUCUCUUACCCAUGUCUUUUGAGUACCUUACGUUUCCUCGGUGGGUUCGCCCACCGAUUGGACAAACUUAAACCCUUUGCAGUUGAAAUCAGCGUCUGAAAAAACUUAAUAGUUACAACUUUCAACAACGGAUCUCUUGGUUCUGGCAUCGAUGAAGAACGCAGCGAAAUGCGAUAAGUAGUGUGAAUUGCAGAAUUCAGUGAAUCAUCGAAUCUUUGAACGCACAUUGCGCCCCUUGGUAUUCCAUGGGGCAUGCCUGUUCGAGCGUCAUUUGUACCUUCAAGCUCUGCUUGGUGUUGGGUGUUUGUCUCCUGUAGACUCGCCUUAAAACAAUUGGCAGCCGGCGUAUUGAUUUCGGAGCGCAGUACAUCUCGCGCUUUGCACUCAUAACGACGACGUCCAAAAGUACAUUUUUACACUCUUGACCUCGGAUCAGGUAGGGAUACCCGCUGAACUUAAGCAUAUC
rnacentral:rRNA from 1 species